rnacentral:lncRNA from 9 species
AGACUGUACCCCAAGUAUGUUACCUCUCUCCUGCAAAUCUGGGCCUUUUUAGCUGAGGCUCGGUAGCCUAGGUCAGACAAUUCCAGUAGUAGUGCCUUCGUACCUUCUAAGCAGUCCUGUUUGGUGGCUCCCGCCAGAAGCAGGUCAUCCACGUACUGGAGGAGGGUCACCUGGGGGUGUUGGAUCCUGAAGUUGGCCAGGUCUCUGUGUAGGGCUUCGUCAAAGAUGGUCGGGGAGUUUUUGAACCCUUGGGGCAGUCGGGUCCAGGUGAGCUGUCCGGUUCUUCCCGUACCUGGAUCCCUCCACUCAAAGGCAAAAAGUGGUUGGCUAGUGGGGUGUAAUCUCAGGCAGAAGAAGGCAUUUUUUAAGUCCAAUACUGUGUACCAGUUCCGUUUGGGUGGGAGAGCGCUCAAGAGGUUAUAAGGGUUCGGGACCAUUGGGUGUAUGUCCUGCACCCGUUUAUUGACCUCUCUCAAGUCCUGUACUGGUCGGUAAUCAUUGGUCCCAGGCUUCCUAACUGGUAGCAGGGGAGUAUUCCAAGGGGAUCGGACAGGAACUAGGAUGCCCUGUUGGAUUAAUCUUUGAACAUGCGGCCAAAUUUCUUCUCGAGCCUCUCUACUCAAGGGGUACUGUCUGACUGAUAUUGGUGUGGCACUGGCCUUCAGCUGAAUAACCUGUGGGGGAACUUGCUUUGCCAAACCCAUCCCUGCGGUUUCUGCCCAGGCUUGGGGAAACUGCUCCAACCAGGACUAUAUAUUUUGAUCAGGCUUUACUAGGGGAGAAUAUAGUCGAUAUUCAUCAUCUAAUUGGAGGGUCAACACAGUGAUGGGUUUGUUAUUCGCAGACACUUCUGGUUUCCCUUGUUCAAAAGAAAUUUGAGCUCCCAUCUUGGUCAGUAAGUCUCUACCUAGGAGGGGUAUUGGGCACUCAGGGAUGACCAGAAACAAGUGGGUUACCCGUCCCACUCCCAAGUCAACGGUUCUUCGGGUAGUCCAUGGAUACUGCCGUUGCCCUGUGGCACCCAUCACCCAGGAUUUUUUAUCUUUUAGUUUUCCUAAUGGCUGUAGCAGCACUGAAUGCUCCGCUCCGGUAUCAACCAGGAACUCAACUGGUUGCCCCUCCACCUUCAAAGUUACCCUGGGCUCGGGGAGGGGGUCCGAACCCCGUCUCCCCUAAUCUUUAUCUUCUUCCAGAGCUAGGACCUUUGGUCCUUUGUUUCCCUUCUUGGGGCAGUCCCUUGCCCAGUGUCCUUUUUCUUUACAAUACACGCACUGGUCCUUGUCGAGUGGGGUCCUAUUGCCCAGGUUCCCUGACUGUCUAGGGCCUGACCUAAUUUUCCUAAAAUCUCUCUCUCUCUCUCUACUGCUCGUCCCUUCAACCACUGCGGCCAAGAUCUUAGUCAAAUUCUUCUCUUGCCGUCUAUCACGUCUUUCCUCCCUUUUCUCUUUCUCCCUUUCUUUUUUUUGUUCCCUUUCCUCUUCUGUCUCCCUUUUGUAAUACACUUUCUCUGCCUCCUUCACUAGAUCACGUAACUCAGCCUCCUGUAACCCUUCUAGUCUCUGAAGUUUUCUUCUGAUGUCCAGGGCCGACUGCCCUAUGAAGGCCAGGGCCACUGAGGCUUUCUGGGCCUCCGAGGUAGGAUCAAAAGGGGUGAACCGCCUGAAGGCUUCCAUGAGCCUCUCAAGAAAUACCGAGGGAGGUUCGUUCGGUCCCUGCAUCACCUCUCUUACCUUAGCCAAAUUAGUGGGCCGUCUUGAGGCGCCCCGGAGACCCGCCACCAGAGCCUGGUGAUAGAUUUUCAAGCUCUCCCUACCUUCAGCCGUGUUGUAGUCCCAACUGGGGCGAGUCAAGGGAAAUCCCAUGUCAAUCUCAUUUUGCAACUGCGUGGGUCGCCCGUCGGCCCCAGGAACAUUUUUUCUAGCCUCUAACAGAAUUCUCUCUCGCUCCUCGGUUGUGAAGAGUGUCUGCAGCAGCUGUUGACAAUUAUCCCAAGUGGGCUGGUGAGAGAACAUAAGGGACUCCACCAACCCCGUGAGGCGUUGGGGAUCCUCCGAGAAAGGGGGAUGGUUAGUUUUCCAAUUAUAGAGAUCUGCAGAAGAAAAGGGCCAAUACUGGAGGGGCUGCAGUUGGCCCCCCGGCAUGGGAGGGCCACAGGUGCGCAGCAGUAAUGUCACGACCUCAUCUGUCCGCUCCGGGGUAGCGCCCCUCCGGCUCCGAGUCCCAGCAGCAGGUCCCUCCGCCGCCGGAGCUCCAGGAGGGGCAGAGGGUCCCCUCGCAGCCCCCUGUGCUGGAUAAGGGGGUGGGGGAACGGGUUGGGGUUCCGGCCAAGUCGGCGGCUCCUCAAUCUCGGGGUAGAUACGAGGAGAGGGCUUGACUUUUUCGGCCGAGUGUUUGUUUUUCUCUCCAAGAGCCAGAAUUCGGGGACCUGGCUUUCUUGGUUUAUUUAGCCAGGGUUUAACCCAUGGCGGAGGAUCUUCUGCCAAAUCUUGCCACGUAAGAAUAUAGGGCUCCUGAUCGGGAUGAGAGCCGGGUCCAGUCUGAAAAAUAAUUGCUUUAACAGCCAGGAUAAUCUCAGAAUUAAAGGUCCCUUCUUAACCUGAACUGACAAAUUAUGAGCCCUGGAUUUAACUUCAGUCCAAUGAUCGAGAGUCAAACUAAGGGGGGGUCGUCACCGUCUGUCCCUGUAGACAAGGAUGCACAAGACAAAGACACACAAAACAGAAACCAACAGAUCCAGACACACGCGACCCGUCCGUGUCUUCCACAAGCAGGCAAAAGAGUCGGACGGCCGCGGAGGGGGAAGCUUUCGCCUCAACAACAGAACUCCGACCGACAGUAGGAGACCACCAGGCAUCCCUGGCUCUCCCCACCUCCCGGGGCGUCCCCCAGGGCGGCAGCCUGUGAUCCUCCUAGCACAUCUGCUGAUCACAGUCCUCCAGUCCUCACGGUCUGAGAGGACAGCUGCAAACAGAAAGCGCGCAUCACCGAAAACAGACACUCAGAACAGAGACGCCGGCCGACACACACACGUUCCAAAGGGGAUCCCUUUACCUCCAAGUCGGUUCUCGGGUGUAAGGGGUGGUCGCAGGAUUUCCCGGCCAACGCACCAAAUGAAAGGCCAGUAGAAGGUAAAAUCCCCCUCGUCCGGACUCGGAAGAGGCGACACCCCAAAUCACUCACGAGAAGCGGUCUUGAUGCAAACAGCAAGAGGAUUUUUAUUCCAAGCGCGCUGGGGCCCACAGUCGUACGCCACGCAGGGGUAGAGGACUGCGGCCCCGAGUGCGGAAUCGGGACAGAUUUUAUGGGGUUCACAACAAAGCCCGUGCUUUGCAAACCAAUCAUUUUAAAACAUCGAGAGCCCGCGCUCCGUGGACCAAUCAUUUUAAAACAGCUCCGGAGGUCCGCAUUUGCGUGGGCUCCUCGGCAGAGUGACAGAUUGCAGUUGAGAUAAGUCACUAGGGCUUUCAAUGUGUAAUCAAUUCUUCUAUGGCGCUAGUCAGUUUUACAGAAUCCAGAUAAGCGAUUAGUCAACUCAUUUCCUGUUAUCUUACUUAGGCCAGGAUAGCAGGCCCUGGAACAGCAAGAAGUGUGACCUUCUACCUAUUUGCUGGCAGGAAACAGGGUCUGGAAUUCGGGGGCAUUUAGAGCUUUUUAUUAACUUCCUGGGUUCUGGGAGGGUUGGGUUGCAUUUUCAUCCUUUCACUUCCACCCAAGAGAUAAAGGCGGGUCCGGGGCCUGAAAAUCCUCCGAAAAGGAAAUACUGGGCUGGGCCGAACACCAAAAAGACAGCUGAGGCCCCUUGCUCAGUGCUCCACACUUCCAACCCCACCACCUCUGGGCGCAUCAGUCCCUGCUUCCCACAUAUUAGAGUCCUGGCCAGGCUGCUGGGCCUCACCUAGCGCGCCCAGGUGGCUGUAGGUUUCCUAUGUCACGUGCAGGUUCAGGACCCUCCGUGCGGGCCGCAGACACCCCCACUCCUCCCGGGAGAAGUACACGGCCACGUCCACGAUCCUCACAGCCCCUGGGAGGCUUUCCCUCGAAGCCCGGAACCGGCCUUCCCUGGCACCUCAGCCACAGAGAAC